GAGCUUUCAGACGCUGCAAAGCGAACGUUUGAGGAAAAGAUAAAAGAUUUUUAAACAAAGAAUAGUUUUAUUUUUCUUUAAUGUUCGGACUCUGAUUGGACUCUGUAGGGCUUACGUUGUCAUUUUUCUUUCUUAGGUACAUUAUAUCGUCAUAAAGCAGCUGUUUUUGUUAAAGCAGCUUUCAAAAACAAUAAAUGAGCCAAUUUCCCUGAUUUAUGUUGAAACUGAAAGAUGGAAUAAUUUGGGAUGAAACUCAACCUUGUCUUCAGCUGUGAUCGUCAGCCUGCGGCUCUGCCCCUGAACCCAGUAAAACACACCCACCAUACAGUUGCUUCCUCCCCCCUUUUCAAAGGGGAGCCAUUGACAUUCUCCAUAGACUAGAAGCAGGGUGAGGCGGGAUGGGUGGGGGUGGGGGGCUGUGUCAUGCCCAGUGCGAACAGCUGAGAGGUGUGAUUUCAGGCAGGCUGACCCCCCCCCCCUCCCCCCCAACUUUGUCAGGGCCCUGAUUGGACCAGACAGGAGGUGCAGAAGAGGCCCGGGGCUUCUAAAGGACACCAACAGGUGGGAGGCCUGGCAGAGGGGGGCCCCAUUCCUGAUGGGGCUAGAAAAGGCCGGUCCACCAGGCCUGGAGUGGUCAUUAUCCACUGGCCAGAAUCCGAGGAGAAAAGCCGGUCGCAGAAAAGCUGAAGCUGAGAAUGUUUCAUUUUUAUUUUAUUUGAAUUUUUACUUUGAGUUGAAAGGACAGACGGCACCAAGGUAAUACCGAAGAGGACUCCACGUUUCUUUCCUAUUCCCCCUUUUCCUUUUCCCCUCCUUUCCCCCCUCCUCCUGCCCUGCUCUGCCUCUUGCAGCUGAAGCAACACGCCUUGCUGUGGCUGGUCAAACGGAACCAAGUCAGGUGUUUCAGUGAGGUUUGGUCCCCUUCAACCAGCUACCGCGUCGUGAACUCUGUCAGCACCAAGCCAAAGACUCCGCAGCGUUACCGCUAGCGCUGCCUGCUCUGGAGGUGGUAAUGAAAUCAAGUUUUAUAGGAUCCAUUAUCAGAGUUUUAUCACUGGAAAAUGUGUUUGUGUUAUUUAAAUCAAAUAAAAGUACUGAAGAUGUGCA